AGAGGCAAGGGCAGGGGCGCUGGGGGCCCAGAGAGAGGGCGCAGCGAUGGAUGGAUGAGCUGUUUCCAGCAUUCCUGUGCGUCUGCUGGUUGAGGCUGCAGUCAAGAUUUGCGGCGGUCUCGUUCGUUGUGGGCUGAAUAUGAAGGCAACUCGGACUAAGAAGACGACUGCUUUCCAACUGCCCUCCCGCCCUGCAGCUGGCUGAUUUGAGGAAGGGGCUGGGAUCCUUCCCCUUGCUCUCUGGUUGUUCUUGGAGUUACAGCAGCCCCGCGGCAGCUCUGCCCCCUAGUGCGCAUGUGAGGCAGCGCGCCCUUCUCCAAUCCAGAAGCCUCGUCGCGGUGCUGCCAGCAAGGGAGUUUUUCUGUAUUCACUCUGGUGGAAAUAGCAAAACUUGACAGAAAAAAAACCCAAGCCAAACCAAAA